rnacentral:rRNA from 1 species
CCUACGGGAGGCAGCAGUGAGGAAUAUUGGUCAAUGGGCGCGAGCCUGAACCAGCCAAGUAGCGUGAAGGAUGACUGCCCUACGGGUUGUAAACUUCUUUUAUAAAGGAAUAAAGUGAGGCACGUGUGCCGUAUUGGAGGUACUUUAUGAAUAAGGAUCGGCUAACUACGUGCCAGCAGCCGCGGGAAUACGGAGGAUCCGAGCGGUAUCCGGAUUUAUUGGGUUUACAGGGAGCGUAGAGGGGUUGUUAAGUCAGUUGUGAAAGGUUGCGGCUCAACCGUAAAAUUGCAAUUGAUACUGGCAUCCUUGCGUACUGUUGAGGUAGGCGGAAUUCGUUGUGUAGCGGUG